UACGGGGGGGGGCAAGCGUUGUUCGGAAUUCCUGGGCGUAAAGGGUUAGUAGGUGGCCAACUAAGUCAGACGUGAAAUCCCUCAGCUUAACUGGGGAACUGCGUCUGAGACUGAUUGGCUCGAGGACAGGAGAGGAACGCGGAAUUCCAGGUGUAGCGGUGAAAUGCGUAGAUAUCUGGAGGAACACCGGUGGCGAAGGCGGCGUUCUGGACUGUUUCUGACACUGAAUAACGAAAGCCAGGGGAGCAAACGGG
rnacentral:rRNA from 1 species